rnacentral:rRNA from 1 species
AACGAACGCUGGCGGCAUGCCUAACACAUGCAAGUCGAACGAGACCUUCGGGUCCAGUGGCGCACGGGUGCGUAACGCGUGGGAACCUGCCCUUAGGUUCGGAAUAACUCUCCGAAAGGGGUGCUAAUACCGGAUAAUGUCUUCGGACCAAAGAUUUAUCGCCGUUGGAUGGGCCCGCGUUGGAUUAGCUAGUUGGUAGGGUAAAAGCCUACCAAGGCGACGAUCCAUAGCUGGUCUGAGAGGAUGAUCAGCCACACUGGGACUGAGACACGGCCCAGACUCCUACGGGAGGCAGCAGUGGGGAAUAUUGGACAAUGGGCGAAAGCCUGAUCCAGCAAUGCCGCGUGAGUGAUGAAGGCCUUAGGGUUGUAAAGCUCUUUUACCCGGGAUGAUAAUGACAGUACCGGGAGAAUAAGCUCCGGCUAACUCCGUG